ensembl:lncRNA
AAACAAUGUACUGGUGCUUUUCUGUUUUAGUGAGAGGAGGAGAGAGAGAAAUCGAGGGAGAGAGAGUGGGAGGGGGAGUAAGAGAGAGAAUUUGUCUGGCAUCUGGGAUUGUUAUGCUGUGCAGUCAUGGAUUCCUUUUUUACUGAACCCUUUGGUUGUAGCCAUGGAUCGACCAGAGGGAGCCCUCAAAACUGGAUGUGCACAAAGUCAACUCAGGUUUCUUCUGUCAGGAUUCCAAGUCUGAGGCCAGGAGUCAAUCAGUGUGUGAGUUGGAGGUAUUGUAGAGUGUUCCUGCAUUCUCAUGGAUCCCGUUCACUAUAAGUGCUACAUAUGCAGGCUCAGUUGGAAAGUGCCUUCAACAGCUGCAGUGUCUGUAACCCGGGAUCAGAUUGAGUGUAUGUUUCGCUUUUCAGCGAACAGUGGUAUUUCGGAAAAGUUGAGUAACAGACGGCCUUGAAGGAUUCCGCAUCUCUGAACUCUUACCUGGAUUUUGCUUCUACAACCGGAUGAGCUACCACGCCCUAACCUGCAUUCACCUUCCUGUCUACCUGGACACCUGCAACCAUCUGCACGCCAUUCUCCCUGCCAGCACUCCGUCCAUACUCACCUCAUACGCUUUUCUGUUUGACCAUUAAACCACCCUUCACUGUCACUUCUCGUCCUUGUCUGCUUUUGGGUUCCUCUCAGGCCCUGACAACAAUGAAUGUCAGAGCAAAAACCAGUGGAAAAAGCUUUGACAUACAGUUGUGUCGAGGCGUAGAUCUUGAGAAGGUUAAUAAAAAAUUGCUACAGCAUUGAAUGUUCACAGGAACACAGUGGGCUCCAUCAUUGUAAAAUGGAAGAGGUUUGGAACCACCAAGACUCUUCCUAGACCUUGUUGUCUGGCCAAACUAAGGGUGUUGACCAUGAACCCAUUGGCUACUCUAACAGAGCUUCUGAGUUUCUCUGCAGAGAUGCGAGGACCUUCGAGAAUAACAACCGUCUCUGUAACACUCCCUCAAUCAAGACUUUAUGGUUAAGUGGCUGGUCGGAAGCCACAUCUGACUAAAAGGCAUAUGUCAUGAGGACAAAGAUUCUCUGGUCUGAUGAGGCCAAAAUCUAAUUAUUAGGUCUGAAUCUGUAAAUGGCAUCCAAUAUCUAUUUCCAUGCACAUUCUCUAGCAAGAAUGACUGCAGUAAAAC